rnacentral:rRNA from 1 species
UACGAAGGGGGGCUAGCGUUGUUCGGAAUUACUGGGCGUAAAGCGCGCGCAGGCGGCUAUCCAAGUCAGUGGUGAAAGCCCGGAGCUCAACUCCGGAACUGCCAUUGAAACUGUUUAGCUUGAGGAUGAGAGAGGUGAGUGGAAUUCCCAGUGUAGAGGUGAAAAUUCGUAGAUAUUGGGAAGAACACCGGUGGCGAAAGCGGCUUCCUGGUCCAGCACCGACGUCAGGCACGAAAGCGUGGGGAGCAAACAGG